rnacentral:rRNA from 1 species
GAUAACCGUAGCAAUACGGGGAAAGCGGCGAAAGGGAGAGUAACGCGUGGAUACCUACCCUCUGGUCUGGGAUAGCCGCGGGAAACUGCGGGUAAUACCGGAUAACGUCUCCGGACCAAAGGUGUGAUUCCGCUGGGGGAUGGGUCCGCGUCCUAUCAGCUUGUUGGUGGGGUAAUGGCUUACCAAGGCUAUGACGGGUACGAGGUGUGAGAGCAUGACCUCGCUCACUGGGACUGAGACACUGCCCAGACACCUACGGGUGGCUGCAGUCGAGAAUCUUCGGCAAUGGGCGCAAGCCUGACCGAGCGACGCCGCGUGCGGGAUGAAGGCCCUCGGGUUGUAAACCGCUGUCGGAGGGGAGGAAAUGCCAAGGGGUUCUCUUCUUGGUUUGACCUAUCCUCAAAGGAAGUACGGGCUAAGUUCGUGCCAGCAGCCGCGGUAAGACGAACCGUACAAACGUUAUUCGGAAUUACUGGGCUUAAAGGGUGCGUAGGCGGCCCGGAAAGUUGGGUGUGAAAUACCUCGGCUCAACCGAGGAAUUGCGCUCAAAACUACCGGGCUUGAGGAAGAUAGAGGUGAGCGGAACUUAGGGUGGAGCGGUGAAAUGCGUUGAUAUCCUAAGGAACACCGGUAGCGAAGGCGGCUCACUGGGUCUUUUCUGACGCUGAGGCACGAAAGCUAGGGGAGCGAAGAGGAUUAGAUACCCUCGUAGUCCUAGCCGUAAACGAUGAGCACUGGUUUGGAGGGUC